rnacentral:rRNA from 1 species
UACGGGGGGGGCAAGCGUUGUUCGGAAUUACUGGGCGUAAAGGGCUCGUAGGCGGCCAACUAAGUCAGACGUGAAAUCCCUCGGCUUAACCGGGGAACUGCGUCUGAUACUGGAUGGCUUGAAUCCGGGAGAGGGAUGCGGAAUUCCAGGUGUAGCGGUGAAAUGCGCAGAUAUCGGGAGGAACACCAGUGGCGAAGGCGGAACUCUGGGCCGGAACUGACGCUGAGGAGCGAAAGCGUGGGGAGCGAACAGG